rnacentral:rRNA from 1 species
GACGUAGGGUCCAAGCGUUGUCCGGAUUUACUGGGCGUAAAGCGCACGUAGGCGGCUUUGUAAGUUAGAGGUGAAAGCCUGGAGCUCAACUCCAGAACUGCCUUUAAGACUGCAUCGCUUGAAUCCAGGAGAGGUGAGUGGAAUUCCGAGUGUAGAGGUGAAAUUCGUAGAUAUUCGGAAGAACACCAGUGGCGAAGGCGGCUCACUGGACUGGUAUUGACGCUGAGGUGCGAAAGCGUGGGAGCAAACAGG